GUCUAGGAUAUGACCAAGACCCCCUUUCCUCUUCUGGAGAAAGAAGCUCUUGUGAGAUGAGUCCAUGAAAAGGGAUGGGAAAGAAGGGCAGAGAAAGAGUGCGAAGACAGAAAUCACCAAACGUGAAACAACCAAUCUAAGAUCUUUGAUGCUUUCACUGGGCCUCAUCUUGCUGCAACAGGUGG